GUAUGACAGCACAUAUUAAAUUAAACUGAUACGAUGCAGACAAUUUCAGCACAGCCCCUGUGUAAAGAUGACAUACAAACUCAGGAGACAGUCUGUAUUUUA